rnacentral:lncRNA from 1 species
CAGCUAAGCUUGUCAGUGAUCUCCUGACUUAUUUUCAAUUUGGAAUUCUAAACAGAGUCCAAAAUUCUAGGCCAAGGCAAAAAUUUCGAGAAGAAAACAUGCCAAUUCUAGCUCAAGAGACAGGAUAAAAUGUCUUUGCCGUUGGUGCUGAAAGGAGACAGACAAUAGGCCACAGGCAGGGGAUACGCAUGAAGGGUGGAGCUCAAGACCUCAGCUGCUUUCCUCCAGGAGUUUGGUCUGGGAGACAUCACGUGAAAAUGAACACAAAGGGCAAUCCUACAAGCCAAAAGACAGAUAUGACUGAGACGCCUCCUGCCAUCGAGAAGCUCAUAAUCUACUGGACUAUAAACCUCCAUCUCUAGUCCAAGACAAAGACCGCUCCCAGGACAGUAAUGCCAGUUACAACUCUCAGGCCAAGUCUGGAUUUGGGGUAACACCUGCAGCAAGGAGCCCAAGGGGAAGGCUCAGAGAAAAUCCCAUUCACCAAGGCCGUAAUGUACCUGCAUCACCAGGAAGCUCCAUGGUGGCCCCCCUCUGCAGACAGUGGGAGAGGUUUCUACAGAGCUGGGCUCGCUGAACGCAAGAGGGAUGAUAGGACCCUGGAACAAGAGUGGCUAUGUGGUGACGCAACUCUCAGAAAUCAGGUGAAUGCAAUGAUCAUAAUCAGCAAAAAGCUCAGAGGGGCAAUCAAGGAAGGCUGGACCACAGAAUGUGAUGGAGAUGGAGACCACAUCCCCAGGGGCAAAAUACCUGUCAACAAGAGCACUACGCAACUUGUGCCAUUGGAAGAAAUCGAGGAUGGAUAUUCAGGAGGCCGGUGGUGGGUACCGCAAUAAAAGUCCCAAUAACUUGCCCCAGAGUUGGAAAACUCUGAACCCCUUGACUGAGAGGAGGGCCAGGUCUCCAAGAAAAAGGACCAUGCAACACCUGGGUGAAUGGGCACAGCCAAGAUACCUUGAGGUCUUCCUCAAAGGGAUCUAAGGACUCAGGGAACUCUUCACCAGGAAAAGGGGAAUAUCAAGUUUUUGGAGAACUGCGGGAGGUGACUGAUAUGUGGAGACCUGAAGAGUCAUCAUGGCCCUCUCGCUCUGUUGUGUGGGACAGAGGGCAGCCAAGCAAUAAGUAAAAUCUUGCCUGUG